rnacentral:rRNA from 1 species
UACGGAGGGUGCAAGCGUUAUCCGGAUUCACUGGGUUUAAAGGGUGCGUAGGUGGGCAGGUAAGUCAGUGGUGAAAUCUCCGGGCUUAACCCGGAAACUGCCAUUGAUACUAUCUGUCUUGAAUAUCUUGGAGGUGAGCGGAAUAUGUCAUGUAGCGGUGAAAUGCUUAGAUAUGACAUAGAACACCAAUUGCGAAGGCAGCUCACUACACGGUAAUUGACACUGAGGCACGAAAGCGUGGGGAUCAAACAGG